rnacentral:rRNA from 1 species
UACGAAGGGGGCUAGCGUUGUUCGGAAUCACUGGGCGUAAAGGGCGCGUAGGCGGCCGAUUAAGUCGGGGGUGAAAGCCUGUGGCUCAACCACAGAAUUGCCUUCGAUACUGGUUGGCUUGAGACCGGAAGAGGACAGCGGAACUGCGAGUGUAGAGGUGAAAUUCGUAGAUAUUCGCAAGAACACCAGUGGCGAAGGCGGCUCACUGGCCCGAUACUGACGCUGAGGCACGAAAGCGUGGGGAGCAAACAGG